AGUAUUCUUGCCUGGAGAAUCCAGGGACGGCGGAACUUGGAGGGCUGCUGUCUGUGGGGUUGCACAGAGUCGGACACGACUGAAGCGACUUAGCAGCAACAGCAGCAGAACUUUCUGAAUGACAUGGAGGUGGGUCACUAUGUUAAAUAAAUGUCUUUAAUUGGCUCCAGCACCUUGUUAAAGGAAAGGAUUGACUAAAACAGAGACUAGGAUCAGCUGGGUAGCAAAGUGGGGUAGGGAGGAAAUGCAUAGCAACAACAGACUUACCUGAAGUCAAGCGGUACCCCGCCGUGUGCUCUACACAGGGCCCUGGGGUCCAGCCUGGAUGAGCAGCUGAGGGUCCUACAGGCACCAAGUGGAGAGCAGGUGAGCAGGUGCCCCGGGACCACACACAGAUUCCUGAAUCAACUAGAAUAUGACUGGAUUUAAGGGGCAGAUGACACACUUGGAACAGAAAGGAGGAAAAGAAGGAGAGAUUCUUUGAAGAUAUCCUCUUCAACACCGGGGAUACAGGAAAUUUUUCCUCAUUGACUGAAAUAGGAAACAACUGGAACUCAUUCACCGCAGGUUGGAGUGUAAAAUACAACAGCGUUGGAAACUUGGUGGAUUAUAAUAAAGUUAAUCCUCUACCUCUCCUAUGUCCUGGCUCUUCUGCUCCUAGAUAUUCACCAAAGAGAGAUAAGAACAGAUGUACAUGUGCUUAACAGCUUCACUCAUCACAGCCCCUCACUGGAAACACCACUGUUUAAAACAGGAGAAGGGGAACAGUGAAUGCUCUUUGCAAACCCCUGGGCUAUAGCCCACCAGGCUCCUCUGUCUGUGGAUUUAUCCAGGCAAGAAUAUUGGUACAGGUUGCCAUUCUCUCCUCCAGGGGAUCUUCCCAACUCAGAGAUCCAACCCAUGUCUCCUGGGUCUCCGGCAUUGGCAGGCAGAUGCUUUACUACUGAGCCCCCUGGGAAUUGCCUGCUAUGGACUAGCCCUCAGCAAGAAAAUGGGACUGAAGAUAAAGGCAAGGUCUUCAGUGAACCCCAGUGUUGAGCGCAAGAGCCAGGCACAAGUGAGCACACACUGGGAGCAUUCUGAUAACAUAAAAUCCAGAAGCGGGUCAGAAAAGCAAUGACUUAUGAGGGGCACCAAAUGGGAGGGACCCGGAGGAGUCAUCUGGGUGCUGGGAAUGUCCUGGAACUUGACCUGGAUGGUGGUCACACAGCUGUUUACAGCAUAAAAACUCAUCCAGCAGACUAGGGUCUGUGUGUUUACAUGGACCGUACCUCAAUGAAGUACUGUUAAAAAACACCGCAGGCCACGUACAGUGGCACCGUGCGUGAGAAUCCACCUCACCGUGCAGAGAACGCGGGUUUGAUCCUUGGUCCUGGGAGACUCCACACGCGGUGGAGAAACUAAGUCCAUGUGCCACGAUUAUUGAGCCCAGGUUCUAGAGGCCACCUGCUGUAAAUACUGGAUCCCACACCCCUACAGCCUGGCUCAGCAACGAGAAACCAUACAUGGCACUGAAGAAGCUCCCCACUUGCUGCAACUAGAGAAAGCCACUGCAAAGUAACGAAGAAUAAGCACAGCCAAAGGAAAAUAAAAUAAGUGAAUUUUUAAAAAUUUAGAAACCACCCCAAAACUCUCAGAGCCCAGGGAGAAAUAGGGACAGCUAGAGUUCAAGCAGACAUGCAUUUUGACAUCUCCAGGUGAUUUGGAAGUGAGUCACAGAGAGUCCAGCCCAAAAAGGAGAGCCCAGGUUCUUCUGCUCCAGCCCUGUAGGGAGGGCCUACCGCCAAACCCAAAGGCCAGUGGGUUUUUGGGUGAAUAAAGACCGUAAGGAGGUGUCUCCAAGACCCAGUGGCUGGCACAGCUGACCUCAGCAACCUGGGGUCACCAUGUGUGCCGUCACUGAGACCCUUUUCCAGGACCUGGCUUGAGGUGAGAGGCAGCCCUCGAGCUCCCUUAUUUAAAGUCCAGACACUUGUCUGAGGUUCUCUGUUCUCUGCACUGUAGACCAUAGGAUCUGUUCUAAAUGUGUCGGCCACCUCACCCUCUCAAAAAGCAGAAACUGACGAGUGUGGAUGAGGACAGGGAGAGGGGAGGCCUUUUGUGCUGUCGGUGGGAUGCCAAACGGCGAGGCUGUGCUGGGAAGCAUAGUGUGUGUGCUUGACCCUGAGACUGGCAUUACGCUUCUGAUUGCUAAAGCGUCCAUUUCAAAGAUACUCAUCUUUCGUAAACAUGGUGCCAGCUGUGUGACAGCUUCUAGAUAAGCUGCCACGCUUGCCCCACCCAUCAAGUUCUCCUUUCUAGGAAACACUGGGCAACCUAGAUAACUGUUUGAGUGACCCCACAUGUCUCUUCCUGUCCCCUGCGU
ensembl:lncRNA